ensembl:lncRNA
UUGGCCAACACCCCCACCAACCCCAUCCCCUCCAACUCCUCCAACGCCGCCCGGUCGUAAGCGAAGGCGGCCAAAGCCAACAGCACCCUUGGGUGCCAACCCCGAGCUUUUGGGUCCCCCAAGAGGGUCACCAGGGUCCCCAACCCCCCUGCCGCCCUCACCUUGGCCCGGUUGACGGCUUCACGGCACAGAAGGCAAAGAGCCCGCAAUGCCGGGCCGCCGCCGUGGCAAGGGGCUCCAGUGGGGGGCAAACGUUUGCCGAUGGGCCUUUGGGGGACGAUGGAACCACCAGGAGCACCAGCAUGGCCGCCACCACCAACCACGCGGCUGCCGGCAACGUGGCUGCCAACAUGGCUGCCAAGCCUGGCGUCGUCACCGACGCCAUCGUGGCUGCCAACAAUAUGGCCGCCACCAACAUGGCUGCCAGCCCCAUGGUCAUCACCAACGCUAGCAUGGCUGCCAACCCCGUGACUGCCACCAACAUGGCCGCCAACCCUAGAAUCAUCGCCAACACCAAUAUGGCCGCCAACCCCAUGGUCAUCGCCAACACCAUCAUGGCUGCCAGCAACAUGGCUGCCAGCAACAUGGCCGCCAACCCCAUGGUCAUCACCAACACCAUCAUGGCUGCCGGCAACAUGGCCGCCAACCCUAGGGUCAUCACCAACACCAUCAUGGCUGCCAGCAACAUGGCUGCCACCAACAUGGCCGCCAACCCCAUGGCCACCCCCAACACCAUCAUGGCCACCACCACCAACCCCAUGGCUACCCCCAACAUGGCUGCCACCAAGAUGGCCACCACCGCCAACGCCAUGGCUGCCAACAACAUGGCGGCCGCCAACAUGGCCGCCAUCCCCAUGGCCACCACCAACCCCACGACCACCCCCAAGACCACCAUGACCGCCAUGAUGGCCACCACCACCACGAUGGCGACCAGCACCACCAUGAUGGCGACCACCACCACCUCCAUCCCCACCACCUCCACCAUCACGACCACCAUGAUGGCAACCAUCACCACCAUGAUUGCAACCACCAUCACUUCCAUCUCGACCACCACGAUGACCACCACGAUGGCCACCAUGAUGGCCACCACCAUCACCUCCAUCCCCACCACCACGAUGGCCACCACGACGUCCACCAUCAUCGCCUCCAUCUCCAUCCCCACCACCUCCACCGCAGUGACGACCGCCAUGACGGCCACCACCACCACCACCUCCGUCCCCACCGCCCCCACCACCCCAAUGACCCCCACCCCCCCGACCCCCCUCCCCAUUUCCACCUUCCACCAUCCUCAUCACCUCCCUGGUCACCACCUCCACGGCCCCGACGCAACCCAAAGCCGGCCGCAGCGCCGCCCGGUGGCACAAAUUAGCAAUGGCGGCUAAGGCCGGACGCCGGCGAUCUCGUUCAGGAGAUUCUGCUAAUUGAGUGAGGGUCCGAAGGGCCGGGAUGGCGUCGUCCAAAGAUGAACUCGGGGGUUCCGUCAGGUGCCGCAGGGCUCGGGUGACCGAAGUGCAAGCCGGGUGGGUCGGGGGUAAAGUGGCCAAACGGGAAGCCACGGCACGGAGAGCGCCGGCGCGGCAAAGGGAGGCACGGGAGGAUGGAGAGGAAGCCAGGAUGCGGAGAGCGCGGGAGGAGCUGUGCAGGCACUCCGGGGUGGUGCAGGUGGAGGUGAGAGACACCAGGAGGGGAACGGCACCUGGAAGGGGGGGAGAGAAAGGGGGGGCUAGAACCUGUGGUGGUGGAGAAUCCAUUAGGG